rnacentral:rRNA from 1 species
UACGAAGGGUGCUAGCGUUGUUCGGAAUUACUGGGCGUAAAGCGCGCGUAGGCGGUUUAUCAAGUCAGAGGUGAAAUCCCUGGGCUCAACCCAGGAAUUGCCUUUGAAACUGUUAGACUUGAGUGUCGGAGGGGAUAGCGGAAUUGCUAAUGUAGAGGUGAAAUUCGUAGAUAUUAGCAGGAACACCGGUGGCGAAGGCGGCUAUCUGGACGACAACUGACGCUGAGGCGCGAAAGCGUGGGGAUCAAACAGG